rnacentral:rRNA from 1 species
CACAUGCAAGUCGAACGGUAACGGGAAGGAAGCUUGCUUUCUUUGCYGACGAGUGGCGGACGGGUGAGUAAUGCUUGGGAAUCUGUCUUAKGGAGGGGGAUAACGACGGGAAACUGUCGCUAAUACCGCGUAAUGUCUAAGGACUAAAGGGUGGGACUUUCGGGCCACCUGCCGUAAGAUGAGCCCAAGUGGGAUUAGGUAGUUGGUGAGGUAAGGGCUCACCAAGCCGACGAUCUCUAGCUGGUCUGAGAGGAUGACCAGCCACACUGGAACUGAGACACGGUCCAGACUCCUACGGGAGGCAGCAGUGGGGAAUAUUGCGCAAUGGGGGCAACCCUGACGCAGCCAUGCCGCGUGAAUGAAGAAGGCCUUCGGGUUGUAAAGUUCUUUCGGUGAUGAGGAAGGCGAUUGCUUUAAUAGAGCAGUUGAUUGACGUUAGUCACAGAAGAAGCACCGGCUAACUCCGUGCCAGCAGCCGCGGUAAUACGGAGGGUGCGAGCGUUAAUCGGAAUAACUGGGCGUAAAGGGCACGCAGGCGGACUUUUAAGUGAGGUGUGAAAUCCCCGGGCUUAACCUGGGAAUUGCAUUUCAGACUGGGGGUCUAGAGUACUUUAGGGAGGGGUAGAAUUCCACGUGUAGCGGUGAAAUGCGUAGAGAUGUGGAGGAAUACCGAAGGCGAAGGCAGCCCCUUGGGGAUGUACUGACGCUCAUGUGCGAAAGCGUGGGGAGCAAACAGGAUUAGAUACC